rnacentral:rRNA from 1 species
UACGAAGGGUGCAAGCGUUACUCGGAAUUACUGGGCGUAAAGCGUGCGUAGGUGGUUUGUUAAGUCUGCUGUGAAAGCCCGGGCUCAACCUGGGAAUGGCAAUGGAUACUGGACAGCUAGAGUGCGGUAGAGGGUAGUGGAAUUCCCGGGUGUAGCAGUGAAAUGCGUAGAGAUCGGGAGGAACACCAGUGGCGAAGGCGGCUACCUGGACCAGCACUGACACUGAAGCACGAAAGCGUGGGGAGCAAACAGG